CUAAGAAUUAUAAAAAUCUUAAGAAAAUACAUAAAAAACAAUAUGAGACUGCAUAUAGGGCUUAUUUAACGAAAUGCAUACAUAUUUUUUUAAUAUUUCAGUUUAAAAGAAUUUUAAGGAUAGAAUAAAAAAUGAGAGAUAGUGUUUAAUACAAUAUAGUCCACGUGCAGGCGUGGUAAUUUGGACAUAUAUAGACAACAAAACGAGUUUGUGAUUUCAUAAACAUUUGAGGAGAUUUUCAAUUGUUGUAGUGAUUCAAUGUGUGACUUUGCCAUGACGCGUGUGCUGUGCGCGCUGAACACGUGCCCUUUUAAAAACACUAGGCUUGUUCGACUUCAUGCGGCGCUGCAAGAACCGACAGCCGGAUGACGUCAAAGUACCGCGAGAACGAUUCGAGAACUCAUACGAAGUGUAAUUUCGUCUCGCUCUCGCGGCACUUUAACGUCAUCCGUCUAGCGGGGCCGCAGGAAGUCGAAUAGCCUUCUUUCUCAUUGCGGAUUACCAGGUGGGACUGACGAAGCUCCUCUUUCACGGGUUUCUUUACUGUUUUCAGAUUUUCCAUGCUGAUAUCCGUGCAGCAGAGUCAAAGCAGACCUGUCAGAAAACAUCUCUAAGGUGCUAUGAAUCUCAUAACUAGAUACACAUCAUAAGAUGACUAGAGCUUACGGCUGUUUGGAUCCAGCCUCACUUGUGAAGACUUCAGAUGACGUAAACACUCACAAAGACAUUAUAUGAUGGCAUGCAUCUAUAGAUGGACAUAAACAACUGCCAAAUGUAAUAUAUUGUAAUUACUGCACCAAAGCACAACUCUGCAGAUUUUCAACCCACUUAAUAUUGUUACAAAUACAAUAUGUUUAUAUUUGAAAAAAUAUUGUUUAGCUAAUUUUACAGAUUUAUUUCCAUUUAUUUGUCCACAAUACUCUGCCAAAAUGAUGAUUUGCAUCAUCCAAAUAUUGUUAAUGUACAUAUUACAGACAUUGUAACAACACAAAGUGGGUUGAAAUCCUGCUAACUUACUCUAUAAAAAUAACUGUCUGUUAACUAAACAUGACUUUAACACAUGACUUGUAUUAUAUUAGAGCUGUUGUGAUAUGAAUAUUGAUUUGUUUCCAGAAUAUGCUCCUCAGUGUGACACUUACAGUACCUCAGGCUGAUUAAGGGAUCUUUUGUAACCUUGAAACAUGCAUUUUCUUAAAAUGGCAGUAUUGUGAAGCACAAUAUACCCUAUCAUGGUUUUACUUUGGUGAAACUGCAGAUCAUUUUUCAAACUAAGGUUUUGUUACUGUGGUUCUACUAUACUGCUCUACAAAGGCUAAGUGCAGUAACUACGCAAACACUAAAACCGAGAAAAAAGUUCUUAAAGUUUUUUUUACAUCAGCAAGUCAAACUUGUUACUGCAAUUUUGGCAAACACAUUUCUCUGAUGGGACAAAAUUAAACCAGGAGACUUUGUCACAAGACAACAGAUAUCACAAAGCCCAUUUCAUUCUUUACCUCAAUUUUGACCAAAUGCAUAGUUACUGCGCUUUGGCUUUGUUGGGCAGUAUAGUAUGAAUAUAGUAAUACUGGAGUGAAACUAUGGUAACCAUAUAUUUUAAAAUCAUGGUAAAGUUUGUGGUUACUAAAGUGUAGUACUACCUAUGCUGUUGUAAAAGAAUGUUUAUUCUUUAUUAUUGUUGUGAAACCAUGGUUGAUUUUAUAUUUACCAUGUUUUACUGCAAAUGAUGGUAAAAUCAUGGAUAACUUUGCAUGGGUACAGAAAGGUGUAAACUGGUUGUUUUUAUUUGGAAGUCACGUUGGUUUUAAUGCAUCUGAUAAAUGUAUAUGCAUUUGGAUAUUUAUUCUUUUUACUGACAAUAAUAAAUUUGCAGUUGCUGAUGUAAAUUGUUUAUUAUUGUGUUGAAAGACAUUUGGUUAGCGUGAUUAAACAAUUAUGAACCACGGACCGACCGUGGGCAGCUAGCAACCAUUACCGGUAUGAACCAGCGGACCUUUGCGGCUGCCGCUGGUGGUCCGCUGGAAAAACGAUGGAUAAAACUCCGGCGAGCC